GGGCGUGACUGUUGGUGAGGUGGGUGGGGUCAGCCUGCGGUGGAGGGGAAGGGUCCUAGAGCCGUGGGGAGGGGCAGCCCGUGGCCUGGAGCAGUGGUUGGUGACCUUUGGAGGGGCGGUUGGGCUGUUGGGCAGUUGGGCGGUUGCAUGGGGCGGCCUGGGACUUGGGGGCGGGGUCAGUCAUAUAAAGGCUGUGCCCAGCGCUUUUGGAAGCAGUAAGUCCAGCCUUAGGCUAAGGUGAGAGCGUCUGCUGGGACAGUGUGGCUGGACCCACGUGGCAGGUGCGAGGCAGGGUCACUGCGGAUGGGAGAGAAGGCGUAGAGGCCUCAGGCCUUGUGGGGUGUCACCUAGAGAUGCCCCAGGAGGGCUGGGGGGCCGGGGUGUUUCCAGUGAAGCCAGUUGGCAUCCUGGCCGCUCUCUCCGAGUGGAAGGCAGAGGGAAAUAAUUGUAUUUACGCAGGGUCGAUCGGGCGGAGGCCGUCAAGCUAGCUGGAAGGGGCUGUGCUGUCAACGAGCGAGCGCAGGUGGCCUGGUGUAGACCCCGGGAGGCUGGGCGGGGACGCUGGGCGGGGACCUGGUUGAGGACCUGGGCGGGGACACUGGGUGGAAACCCUGGGUGGGCACGCUGGGCGGGGACUCUACAGGGCUCUCCCUCUGGGUAGUCUGGCCCUGACUUCUGAGUCACGGGAAUGCGGGCGGGAGGUCACGGGCGGUGGGAGGAAGCCCAGGUCCCAGGUUUGUGAUCUUCAGAUGAGGGCAGCUCUGAGAACGGUGGGGGCCCGGCUGUGGCCCCGGGGCGGGGGACGCCCCAGCCGUUCAGUGUGGAGUUGGGGACGAGCGGGCUCUCUUCUUGGAUUUGAGGAUGUCAGGCACCUCUUUCAUUUUCUUGCUUCAGAGAGUAUGCCUAGACCCAACAGAUGGAAAUUCCUGGAAGGCCAAUUUCCUGGAAGGCCGAUUUAGACUUCAUGGGUGCAUAGGUGUAUGCAGACAGCUGCAAUACAGUCUUCUGCUGCUAAUCUCUCAGCAAUUAUAAAUGGUUUUUAGUUUUAGCGACCUGAAAAGCAAGUCUAUGUGAAGCUCCCGAAAACUUUAAUGUUUACGUGUGAAAUACUGAAAAUCUGCUUCUGCCUUUCAACUCAAAAUUCUUUCACAAAGAAUUCUUUGUUUUGAAUUUGUUUGAUAAGUAAAUAUCGCUUAAGUACCAGUUUCAUUUAUGGUUUCAUUAGUGCUUUUCCCUAAAUAACACUAUGAUUUUAACACUUUGCCAUCUACAGUAAAUUUACUUGCCUAAUGCAGCUACCAAAUACAUUUACAUAUACACAUAUAUAUGUGUAUAUGUAUAUUAAAAGUCAUUAAAAAGCAGAAUGACUAAAAAAACAAGUUAGAAAUUGUAAAUACAUACAGAUUAUAUAGCGUUGGAUUACAGUUGACAAACCUUAAAACAUCACACAUUGUAAAGAGGUCCUUCUGGGCAUGACAAGUACACAGCUCUUGCCACAUGACACCGGCCACCUUGCAGUGCUGGUACAACCACACCCAAGCUUCCUCUCCUCUGAUCAGCGAGGCAGAUUCAUUGAUAUGUUGGGGGCUUCAGGGACAUGUCAGACUGUUAUACACUUUCCCAAACCUUCCUCCCAUUUGUUCUGCUUAUCUUGUCUUGACCAGUAACAGUUUGCCAACUGACACCAGACCACAGACUACAGUUUGAAUAGCACUGUCAUAGACUCAAGAUUGGCAACUGUCCAGAAUGUAAACCUAUGCCAAGCACCAAAUGCUUGCCUGGCAGUAGAUGAAGGGAUAUGCCCAUUCUUGCUCUGGUCUGGCUUAUCCCAGCUGAUUGCUUGAGUCUUCUUUAAAAGCUCCACCUCAUCACACAGAUGUGGAAGCUGAGGCUCAGAGGCCUGGAGUGACCUGCUGGUGGGGAUGCAGCUGGAUCCAGAGGAAGAGCUAGAUCCAGGUCCUCUGAACCCCAGCCAGGAGCCCAAAUGCACAGCCACCCAGCCCAGCCCAUGCCUCUCUGAGGUUGAUUUGGGGCUGUCCUUGUGUGUUUCAGUCAAAGAGGGCUACAGAGUCUAGUCAGAGGCUAACAUUGCACUCCAGUUUUGUACCUCUUAGAAAAUGGCGUCCUUCUGGGGAUCAGCCUUGCCAAAGUGGAUGCCAUUGGACUAUAGCUGGUAAGCAGCAAGGAGGUGUUAAUCACUGAAGGGAGGUAGAAUGUUUUUCCCCACCAGAGGAGGCAGCGACCACGUCUCCUCUAUGGAGGCAUUCAGGAGCCGUCCAGCUGAAGCAGCAUCACUGUCUGAGGUGAAUACCUGGGGUUCACCAUCUUGCACCAAGAAGAUUAAAGACAUGGACACAUCUUGGAAGGCACAAUCCACAUAGGUCUGCAUGGUCCACCGAGCUGCAUACCCACGGGGCCAGCGGGAGGUGGGCAGCUGCUGGGCUCUCUUCUGAAGCAGACAGGAUCUCACUCUGUUGCCGAGGCUGGAUCACAGCUCCCUGCAACCUUGAACUCUCCCUCAAGCAAUCCUCCCCACUCUGCCUUCCAAAGCACUAGCAUUGUAGGCCUAAGCCGUCACUCCCAUCCACUGUAGUGUAAACUGUCUCCUUCAAUGUUUCCAGUAGUUGCGGAGCAGAUCAGAUAAGGGUUCCUCCUGUCUGUUGCUUCAAGUUUCAUUCUCUCUUUAAACGAUAUAAGGUUGGCUUCCAUGGUUCCUUCUUAAAGAAUGUUGAAGGUGUGUCUUCAGAUUCAUUUAGUGUUCGUGGAACCCCAGGGAAAGCUGAUGUAAAACCCUCUUUUUUCUCCCAAAUGUCUCAAAAAGUUGUAUUUUCUGGGUCCAAGGGAUCUGCAAGCCUCCUAAAGGCAUUUCCAUUGUCACUACCAUCAGGUGUGAACUGUAAUCUGGCACGUAUAGUUCCAGGAACUGUCAUAAUAGAUGCUGAAGAAACAUUGUGAAGUUAACUCGCUGUUACCAACUGUGAAGUCACUAGCUAGAGGAAUCUUGGGUGGUCUGAAAUCUGAGAUACUGUGGAAAGAGCAGAAAGAUCCUGUAUCUUUCCUAUAAUUGUUCUACUGGAAGUUGUCAUUUGACACAGGAGACAUUCUGUUUUAUUUAUUUUCUUUUGAGACAGGGUCUCACUCUGUCGCCCAGGCUGGAGUGCAGUGUUGUUACCACAGGUCACUGGUGCCUCCACUGCCUGAGGACUGCUCAAGCAAUCCUCCUACCUCAGUCCCCUGAGGAGCCGGGGCCACAGGCCUGCACCACCACACCUGGCUAAUUAUUUUUAUUUGUAGAGACAAAGUCUAUCUUGCCUAGGCUGAUCUCGAACUCCUGGGCUCAAGUAAUCCUCCCGCCGUGGCUUCUCAAAGUGCUUGGGAUUACAGAUGUAAGCUACCAUGCCCGGCCUCACAGCAGACAUUUUUGUUUUUUUUGUUUUUUUUUUUUAAAGAAGACUUUUUUUUAUUAUACUUUAAGUUUUAGGGUACAUGUGCACAUUGUGCAGGUUAGUUACAUAUGUAUACAUGUGCCAUGCUGGUGCGCUGCACCUACUAACUCGUCAUCUAGCAUUAGGUAUAUCUCCCAAUGCUAUCCCUCCCCUCUCCCCCCACCCCACCACAGUCCCCAGAGUGUGAUAUUCCCCUUCCUGUGUCCAUGUGAUCUCAUUGUUCAAUUCCCACCUAUGAGUGAGAAUAUGCGGUGUUUGGUUUUUUGUUCUUGCGAUAGUUUACUGAGAAUGAUGAUUUCCAAUUUCAUCCAUGUCCCUACAAAGGACAUGAACUCAUCAUUUUUUAUGGCUGCAUAGUAUUCCAUGGUGUAUAUGUGGCACAUUUUCUUAAUCCGGUCUAUCAUUGUUGGACAUUUGGGUUGGUUCCAAGUCUUUGCUAUUGUGAAUAAUGCCGCAAUAAACAUACGUGUGCAUGUGUC